UCAGUUUCGGACUCCAUCUGGGUCAGUUUUCUUUCAUCAGCUGGCCUGAGAACAUCCGAGGGUAUUCAGACCAUACUGAAAAAAAGAAAAGGAGGGGAAUAGCAAGAUAAUCGGAUAUAUCACAGCCAUGAUCCUCAAAAAUUAAAAAAGUUUUCCAACCAUCUUGCUUAAAUACAGGAAACUGCGAUUUGUCUUCCAGAAUUUUUUCAUCACUGAGCCUCAGCUCCUCUCUGAUAUAAACUCCUUAUGUGAUCUCCAUCAAAUGCACAGCUUCAGGACAUCUAAGAUAAGAAUUAUAAACACAUAUUCUGAUACUUUGGAAAGCCUAAGGAAAAGUGACCUAAACAAAAAAGGGAGGAUAUUACGUAGAUCCUGCUCUUGAAGGAGCCGCCCACAGCUUAGAAGACAGAUGAGAAGAUCAUCAUCACAGAUUUGCUGUGAACAGCUCUGCUCAGCUCUGUCCCUGCCAGACUUGGGGCCACACAUACCCUUCUAAGAGGGCUAAAGAAGAUUCACAAAGAGCACUGCUUUUUGCUCCAGCUUUGGCAAGAGCAGAGGAUGAUUUUGUCUUUCGUAAUCCCAUGAGUGAGUAAUAUAAUUACCCAAAUUUCAUGGAAGAAGAAACCGAGGCCAAAAUUUGCCCAUGGUUACAAAAAAAUGAAUUAUCAUUCAUCUUUUUCAAGAGGAGAAUAUUAUAAAUUUACUAUGCUACUCAUAAAUGCCUUUCUGCCAGAUUAAUAGAAAACCUUUAGAAGCUGGACUUGUAACUUAUUCUUGGAUAUGGUCUUCCACAAACAAUUGGAGUCAUCAGUGUUCAGUGGAACAUCCUUUCAGUUGCAUGAAGAUGCCAAACUAGAGGAAAGAGGACACACCAUGUGAUUUCCCAAGGGCCAUCAUUUCCCAAGGGAUGGUUGUGACUGAGAGGACACAAAAACAAACAGUCUAAAACCAACAGAUAUUCCUGUCUAAAGUAUCUUUUUAUAGCACAGCAUAGCUGUAUUCAAUAUAAAACAAGGAGAGUGAUAACUGAAUGUGAAUUACAAAGCAGAAUUUUAACCAUGAUACAUGAGUUAGUAAUACACGUGAGUUAAACUCAUGAUACAUGAAUUAAAGAAAAUAACUGGAACCCCUUUUCAUAUUUUAUUGUCAAAAGUUUUACCAAAUAGGUGGUUUAUUUGGAAAAGUAGCACCUCUUUGAAAUUAACUCUUGAUUUGUAAAAGUUCAGAUUGUUCCUAUCUACUUGGUCAACUAACAGUGAUUAUUUUUAUUGCUAUAAGCCAUGCAUGUUGGUCUUUGAGAAAUAUGCCAUUAAUCAUGGUUAAAUUGUAUACGCUCAAAAAUCUCUAAGACCUGCAAUAAAAAAAACAAAAUCCAAAAAUGUUGUAAAAUUAUUUAUUAGUCUAUAAAAAGUUGUGUGGACUUUCUACAAAACCAGCAAUUGGAAAAUGACAAAAUUGUUAUUUUAGCCCUAGAGAAUCUUUACACAUUUACCUCAAAGGGAGGAAUAGAGUCAAUUACUUCUAUUUCAAAUAGAUACUCCCUUUGACAAGUAUGCAAAUCAUACUGGAACUAUACAUCUGAGCUUUUUAAGUGUGACAACUCUGAGAUACUACUUGGUAAAGAAGAUUGUGCUAUUACCUCUCCAGUCUGUUCUCAAAGGGAAUAACACUCAUGUUUCCAAGGCAGAGAGAGCACCCAGAGGUGAGGUUCUGUCCACUCCUGCUGUGGACUGAAUUGUGUUCCUCCCUCCACCCACCAAUUUAUAUGUUGAAGCCCUAAUCACCAAUGUGAGUAUAUCUGGAGAUGGAGCCUUUAAGAAGGUGAUUAAAGUUAAAAGAGGUCAUAAGGGUCGAGCCCUAAUCCAGUAGAACUCUUGCUCUUUUAAGAAGAGGAAGAGACAUCAGAGCUGUUUCUCUGCUAUUUAAGGACAUUUUGAGAAGGCAGUCAUCUGCAAACCAGGAAAACAGCCGUCACCAGAGUCCAACCAUGCUAGCAACCUGAUCUUGGACAUCCAGCCUCCAGAACUGUGAGAAAUACAUUUCUGCUGUGUAAGUCACCCAGUCUAUAGUAUUUUGAUAUGGCAGCCCAAGCUAACAUAACCCCUUAAGUAACCUAGCCAAAAAUUAUUAUUAUUUUUUCAGCAAAUAAGGAGAAAGAAAAAAUGUUUUAUAAAAUUUUAAUUUUUGUAGGGUUGCCUGGGUGGCUCAGGCAGUUGAGCAUCCAAAUCUUGAUCUCAGCUCAGGUCUUGAUCUCAGGGCCCUGAGUUCAAGCUCUGAGUUGAGCUGCAUGCUGGACAUGGAAUCUACUAUUUUAAAAAAACGAUAAUUUUUAUAAGAAAAAAUGUGAAUAAAACCAUCUUUGAAAAUUGA